rnacentral:sRNA from 10 species
GGGUGGUGUGAAGCAUUUUGUUCUCAAAAGGAACGGAACUUCUCCCGAAGCACAUCGUCCAUUUUUCCACAAUUGCUAAUUAUCCUGCAACGAUAAUGUUACAUAAGAUAAUACAGCGAAAGCCUUCGGGCGUUGACAGUGAAAGGUGUCUAAUACUUCAGACAUUAGUCAAUGAAGUCAUCAGUUAGAACGCAAUUCUCCUGAUGUCAAUCACGAAAUACCUGGUGGGACGGCCAUCCCUUAGAGAGUUCGCAAGACUUUACAGAGUAGAGUAACGGUUGAGUAGCUGGCAACGAAAAGAGUGGUAAACUUAAAUUACCGACACUGACUCGAUACUACGGGCAAUCGUAGUGGACAAUGUGAGGAACCGAUUCAAUGGAUAAUCUCACGAAAGACGGGUCACAUAAACGUGUAGUCUCAGCGU